UUAAAUUGAAGAGUUUGAUCAUGGCUCAGAUUGAACGCUGGCGGCAGGCCUAACACAUGCAAGUCGAGCGGUAGCACAGAGAGCUUGCUCUCGGGUGACGAGCGGCGGACGGGUGAGUAAUGUCUGGGAAACUGCCUGAUGGAGGGGGAUAACUACUGGAAACGGUAGCUAAUACCGCAUAACGUCGCAAGACC
rnacentral:rRNA from 1 species